rnacentral:lncRNA from 1 species
ACUAGGUUGGUGAUGAGAUUGAGUUUGUGCUGGCUGAAUUUGGGAUGGAUGGAACAACUGAGAUGGAUAGAAAGAUCCAUUGAAAAGAGGCAAGGGUUGUGCAUUGUUUGUUCUAUAUGUUGCGCUCGUUCCUGCUGGAGUAGAAAAGGUGAAUGGAUAACCAUUGUUCUGAAGUUUUGCCAAGUAUGGAGCUUCUACUGAAACCACAUUGGGAUGACUGUAGCUCAUGUUAGUAGAUACUGCAGGAAAUGCUGGAAAGCUCACAAGUGUUCCAGCUUCUGGAUUACUAAACAGAGAUGUUGAUUGGUUAUUGGAAGAUUUGGCGGACCCAGAUUGAUUUGCAGUAGCUUGUGCAAUCGGAGCUUGAUGCUGACCGAUGGGGAAUAUGAAUCCAGA